GCCCCGGUAGCUCAGAUGGAUAGAGCGUCCGCCUCCUAAGUGGAAGGUCACAGGUUCGAAUCCUGUCCGGGGCGCCA
rnacentral:tRNA from 1 species